CUACUGCCAAGAGGAUUCCCCGCUCCUUUCCAGUUUGUCGACGACCGUCGAACCGAGCGCGUCGUUUCGCGUCUCGGGUCUCUAUAUUUCUUCAUUCUCACUUUCGAUCGGUAUACUUAAUCGUUUUAUACUACUACUACUAUUACUAUAAUUAGGAAACAACAUUUGACAUUUGGACAUUUAACAUUUGGACAUUUAACAUUUCAAACAAAAAAAAAAAGAAAACAAUAAGAAAGAGAGAGAAGAUAAAAUUUAUUGUAGAUGUGCGUGUGUAUCGAUCGAAAGCAAUCAGAGGAAGUUCAAGGACGAAGCCUCGGUAGUGUCACUUCUUCUUCUUCUUCUUCUUCUUCUUCUUUCAAGCUUACAAACAAAAAUUAAUAACAAUUGUGUAUUUCAUAU